CUAAAAAUGCAAUGGUAAACGCAAUACGUUUAGGUGAACAAUUCGAUAGUUUGCUACCUGAUAGUGAAGUUCCGGAGCGAACAGAAGGAUACGAAGGCUUUUAUCACUUAAUGAACUUUGAAGGAACUGUUGAAAAAGCAACUUUGCAAUACAUUAUUCGUGAUCAUGAUAAAAAACAAUUCGAAUUGCGUAAGAAACGUAUUUUAGAAAUACGUGACGAUAUCAAUGCCCAUUUUGAAAAUUAUCCAGUUAAAGUUGAUAUAUCGGAUCAAUAUUUCAAUAUGGCAGAAAAAAUAUUA
rnacentral:sRNA from 1 species